rnacentral:rRNA from 1 species
UACGAAGGUCCCAAGCGUUAUCCGGAUUUAUUGGGUUUAAAGGGUGCGUAGGCGGGUUAUUAAGUCAGUGGUGAAAGCCUUCAGCUUAACUGAAGAACUGCCAUUGAUACUGAUGAUCUUGAGUAUGAUUGAGGUGGGCGGAAUGUGUCAUGUAGCGGUGAAAUGCUUAGAUAUGACACAGAACACCGAUUGCGAAGGCAGCUCACUAAGCCAUAACUGACGCUGAUGCACGAAAGCGUGGGGAGCGAACAGG